rnacentral:rRNA from 1 species
UACGUAGGGUGCAAGCGUUGCCCGGAUUUAUUGGGCGUAAAGGGCGCGCAGGCGGCCGAGCACGUCCGUUGUGAAAUCGCCUGGCUCAACUGGGCGGGUCAGCGGAUGACGGCUAGGCUGGAGCAAGCUAGGGGGCAAGUGGAAUUCCCGGUGUAGUGGUGGAAUGCGUAGAUAUCGGGAGGAACACCAGUGGCGAAGGCGGUUGCCUGGAGCUUUGCUGACGCUGAGGCGCGAAAGCGUGGGGAGCGAUCCGG